AGCAGACGCAGUUGUUCCAUCUUGUUCGAAAAAAGAUGGAUGGUUAUUUUGGUCAACUUGUGUUCAUGCAAUGAAAGCUACCUAUAAUAAUUUUUCAAUCAUUGACUCAUGCAAAAAAACUUAGACUUAAAAGAGUUAAAGUAACUGGAGAUAAAGAAGUAUGUGCAGGAUUUAAUUUCACAACUAAAGAGGACUCCAAAGAAGAAUUAAAGUUCUGGUGGAUCAAAUAUCGAGGAAUGAUUUGGUUUUAACUGGUUUUCAUCUUAUGAACGAAGUACAUAAUAUGAUUUAAAUUAAUGAUUUAUAGUUACACCUAUUGAAAUUCUGUAUCUCAAUGAUAUCCUGGGUUAUUGAUACGAUAUCCUGUAAAUCCACUCACACAUAAAUUUUACUCACACACGUAAAUCCUGUAAAUUCACUCACACACAUAAAUCUUAAAAAAGAUGUUUAUAUUUUUAUCUAUAAAUUGUAAAUUUUAUAUAAGUAAAAUGUAUAUUUUUUAUGUUUUUCAUUGUAUAUUACUAUUUGUAUUAAUCGUCUAUGGAAGUAUUGCAAGUGCAGAG